rnacentral:tRNA from 9 species
GCGCCCGUAGCUCAGCUGGAUAGAGCGCCGGACUUCGAAUCCGUAGGCCGCAGGUUCGAAUCCUGCCGGGCGUACCA